AAGACGAGAAGACCCUGUCGAGCUUGAUAAAGUGCACAGAAUGGUUUGUGUAAAUAAGUUUAGCUGGGGCAGCUCCGAACAAAUAAAAAGUUUUGUGUGUAAUUGUGAAGAUCCAAUAGAUAUGUUGAAUAAAGAAAAAGUUACCGCAGGGAUAACAGCGUAAUUUUUUCUGAGAGAACUAAUUGAAGAAAAAGAUUGCGACCUCGAUGUUG
rnacentral:rRNA from 1 species